rnacentral:lncRNA from 1 species
UGUUAAUAUUAUUAAGGUAUAUAUGAGUAAUUCAUUUUUAAUAUUGUGGAAAAUAACAAGACAAUUAAGAUCUGGAAGUAGUGGACGUGGAGAUAAAAUCGUUCCAUAGAUGUAGAGAUCGAAAAAAUCUGUCCACUAUUUGAAAACGAUGUAAUUUCUGUUUACAGACUGAGAUCCUGGUCAGGACAGAAAUAUUGGUUCAAAUCACUUGAGUCCGAAUUCGAGAACUUAAUUCAUCUCAGACCAAGUCUCAACAUUAACGAUUGUCCUAUAGAUUCCUUAAAUGAUUCUAGAAGGAAAGGGAAAUUAUUUUUUUUAUCCUUCUUCUUGAUUACCUUUAUUGUAUCACGCAAGCUAACCUCCGUAUAAGAAACACAAAAAAGGCCCAAAAUUAUCUGGUACCUAGCCAUCAAUUGUUACUUUCCUCCUUUAAAGUAAAACAUCCUUAAUUUCGGGACUUCCUUGUUGGUCUCAAAGUAGAAUUGAGGAUCGAUAUCGGAGUAAUUCCUGCGUAUAUUCUCACUAAGUGGCAUUUGUGAAUAUUUCUUUCCUCUCAGAGCUUCUCGCAGAUAAAGUAAUAAAACGUCAUGAGAUCUAAGUUUCUCUUCUCCUAAAUAUUCUUUAAAUUAUCAGGGUUACCAUAUCCUUUUUCCAUCUCUUAUUUUUUUAGGUAACGGACAGGUCAUAUAUUCUUAAACUCCAGCCUUGCCUAUUACAAAUAAAAUAAAAUAAACCAAUUCAAUAAAAUUAUACUCUCCUGUUUUUGAUUGCACAUACUAAAGUUCGAACUCUAAAGUCUGGCAUAUAUUCCAGCCAAGGAAAAAAAAAAUGUUUUUUUUUUCCUUUCAAUUUUAAACCUAAGAUAAUUUUUAUUGGAAUUAGUUGUUGAAGAAAAUGCAAUCAAU